GGGGGAUUUGGCAUCUUUUUAUUUUUAAAAGACCUUUUUCGGAAGGUAUGCUUAAAGAGGGGCUUGCGUCACAUUAGUUAGUUGGCAGGGUAAAGGCCUACCAAGACUAUGAUGUGUAGCUGGACUGAGAGGUUGAACAGCCACAUUGGGACUGAGACACGGCCCAAACUCCUACGGGAGGCAGCAGUAGGGAAUUUUCGGCAAUGGAGGAAACUCUGACCGAGCAACGCCGCGUGAACGAUGAAGUAUUUCGGUAUGUAAAGUUCUUUUAUUGAAGAAGAAAAAAUAGUGGAAAAACUAUCUUGACGAUAUUCAAUGAAUAAGCCCCGGCAAACUAUGUGCCAGCAGCCGCGGUAAUACAUAGGGGGCGAGCGUUAUCCGGAAUUAUUGGGCGUAAAGGGUGCGUAGGCGGUUUAAUAAGUCUAUAGUUUAAUUUCAGUGCUUAACACUGUCCUGCUAUAGAAACUAUUAGACUAGAGUGAGAUAGAGGCAAGUGGAAUUCCAUGUGUAGCGGUAAAAUGCGUAAAUAUAUGGAGGAACACCAGAGGCGUAGGCGGCUUGCUGGGUCUUUACUGACGCUGAGGCACGAAAGCGUGGGGAGCAAACAGGAUUAGAUACCCUGGUAGUCCACGCCGUAAACGAUGAGUACUAAGUGUCGGGAUUACUCGGUACUGAAGUUAACACAUUAAGUACUCCGCCUGAGUAGUACGUACGCAAGUAUGAAACUUAAAGGAAUUGACGGGACUCCGCACAAGCGGUGGAUCAUGUUGUUUAAUUCGAAGAUACACGAAAAACCUUACCAGGUCUUGACAUACUCUGCAAAGCUAUAGCAAUAUAGUGGAGGUUAUCAGGGAUACAGGUGGUGCAUGGUUGUCGUCAGCUCGUGUCGUGAGAUGUUAGGUUAAGUCCUAAAACGAGCGCAACCCUUGUCAUUAGUUGCCAGCAUGUCAUGAUGGGCACUUUAAUGAGACUGCCAAUGAAAAAUUGGAGGAAGGUGAGGAUCACGUCAAAUCAUCAUGCCCCUUAUGAUCUGGGCUACAAACGUGAUACAAUGGCUGUUACAAAGAGUAGCUGAAACGCAAGUUUAUAGCCAAUCUCAUAAAAGCAGUCUCAGUUCGGAUUGAAGUCUGCAACUCGACUUCAUGAAGUUGGAAUCGCUAGUAAUCGCGAAUCAGCAUGUCGCGUAAUUUAAUUUU
rnacentral:rRNA from 1 species